GCCCGGUUGGCUCAGUCGGUAGAGCGUGUGACUCUUAUAUCCCAGACACAUUCCUGUCAUUUAGUUCAACAGGAAUAAAGGCCAUAGGUGAUCUCAAGGUCGCGAGUUCGAGCCUCGCAUCGGGCU